UGGGGAAUAUUGCGCAAUGGGGACAACCCUGACGCAGCGACGCCGCGUGAGUGAGGAAGGCCUUCGGGUCGUAAAGCUCUGUCAAAGGGAAAGAAAUGUAUAAUGGCUAAUACCUGUUAUAUUUGAUGGUACCCUUAAAGGAAGCACCGGCUAACUCCGUGCCAGCAGCCGCGGUAAUACGGAGGGUGCAAGCGUUGUUCGGAAUCACUGGGCGUAAAGGGCGCGCAGGCGGUUUGGUAAGUCAGAUGUGAAAGCCCACGGCUUAACCGUGGAAGUGCAUUUGAAACUGCCAGACUUGAGUACCAGAGGGGAAAGUGGAAUUCCCGGUGUAGAGGUGAAAUUCGUAGAUAUCGGGAGGAAUACCGGUGGCGAAGGCGACUUUCUGGCUGGAUACUGACGCUGAGGCGCGAAAGCGUGGGGAGCAAACA
rnacentral:rRNA from 1 species